ANGCAGCUUGCUGGACUGUAACUGACGCUGAGGCACGAAAGCGUGGGGAUCAAACAGGAUUAGAUACCCUGGUAGUCCACGCCGUAAACGAUGAAUGCUAGCUGUUAGCGAUAUACUGUUAGCGGCACAGAGAAAUCGUUAAGCAUUCCACCUGGGGAGUACGCCGGCAACGGUGAAACUCAAAGGAAUUGACGGGGGCCCGCACAAGCGGAGGAACAUGUGGUUUAAUUCGAUGAUACGCGAGGAACCUUACCUGGGCUUAAAUUGCAGUGGAAUAACGUGGAAACAUGUUAGCCUUCGGGCCGCUGUGAAGGUGCUGCAUGGUUGUCGUCAGCUCGUGCCGUGAGGUGUCGGCUUAAGUGCCAUAACGAGCGCAACCCUCAUCGAUAGUUACUAACAGGUUAAGCUGAGGACUUUAUCGAGACUGCCGACGUAAGUCGUGAGGAAGGUGGGGAUGACGUCAAAUCAGCACGGCCCUUACGUCCAGGGCUACACACGUGUUACAAUGGGGGGUACAAAGGGCAGCUACCUGGCGACAGGAUGCUAAUCUCUAAAACCUCUCUCAGUUCGGAUUGGAGUCUGCAACCCGACUCCAUGAAGCUGGAUUCGCUAGUAAUCGCGCAUCAGCCACGGCGCGGUGAAUACGUUCCCGGGCCUUGUACACACCGCCCGUCAAGCCAUGGGAGCCGGGGGGACCUGAAGUAUGCAACCGUAAGGAGCGUCCUAGGGUAAAACUGGUGACUGGGGCU
rnacentral:rRNA from 1 species